CCGCGAAGCGUUGUCGUGCCCUGUUUUUCUUCUCUGAUAUCUAGAUAUUUAGCGCCUUUGUAAACAACUACAGCUACAGCUAAAACACUGUGGAGGUUAAUGCUGCCUGAUUCGCAUCUACUGUUGCCGGAAAGAAUCGCAAAUCAUCAAAAACAGGCAUGCCACCAGAGUAUCCGGGGAAGAAAAAGAGACUUUUUAGUCGAAAGGUUGCCAAAAGAAAGAACUACAGUUUUCACCAAUGCCUGUGCACCUGGUCGCAAAAAGUCUGUAAUUUUGCUAGAUCCAGAUGAGCCCAUGGAUAAGAGUACUGGCAUGGUUAACCCCCUGACCAUGCCACCACCUCCUCCGUCAACACCACCACCGUCACCACCACCACCAGACAACAGAACACGGAGCCAACACUCAUACGCUGCUCGCAAACGAGAUGAAGCUGUCGGUGGGGAGGGGUACGGGUCUACAACCGUGGCUUUUUGCUGUUUGGGGGUGCAAGAAGUCAACAUGCAGCUGACCUGUGGAUACCAGAAAGCAGACCACACUGUGCCACCUCAAAGUCCUGGCUAGCUACAUGUAGGAACUGAGCUUUGAGAAAACAAUGGCAAUGAAAAUUUGUGGAAACAAAUGCAACUUUUAGUACUGUCACAGGUGUGGAUUAUUGUCUUAUGACUACUGUAUGUGAUCACAUAUUAUUUCCCAAGAACUACUGAUACUUGUAACCUUAAGCCAGCAUUUUCAUUGUCAGUUUUUGUAUGAAUAUGAGCAGAUUAAGAAAUUCUUCAUACGUACAUGUGUUGAGCGUGCCUUGUUACAGUUAUUGUUAUAUAUUCAAUUAUAGAAGGGGAAACAUGUGCCAUGUGACUUUGUACCCCUAAACGUUCCACCAAGAUAGAUAACAUAACUACAAAAUUAUAUAUCAUUCUGAAUUAAGAUGAACUAGUGUUUAUUCCAUCUAUAAUUGAUGGUAGCUAUUUGUGCAAACUUCUCUGAUUGGAAAGUGCCUCACUGUCAGGUUCAUGAGUUUUCUCGGAGAACACUACUCUCCUACUGCAUGCAUGUUUUGUGGACUCAAUGUGUGGCUUGUACCACAGAAAGUUGCCCUUCUGUACGUGUCCCCUACGCUAUGAAAAAAUCUGGUGAGAACCCUGUAUUCUACUUGGUCUCCAUUAAACACAUGGAAAAACCAUAUGAAACGAUAGGAUUGAGGAGAAUGGUGAACAUUGUAACAAUGCUUUGAACAUGCAAUGUACUUGUACCAAUGAGGGAAAUUUUACUGCAUUACAUGUGUACAUGAAGGAUUUCAUAGCUUGAAUUGAAAAAUCACUGUAGAUCUUUGCGGUUUAUUCCCCUAAUGUGAAGAAAAUUGAUUGAAAAUCUUGUAGCCCAGGUGCUGAUUGGUCAUUGUGUGAAUUAUUUUGGUAUCAGAUUAACUAUUCAGUGAUCUUGUUUGUGAUUGUUAAGGAACGGCCACAUUGCAGGAACAAAGUUGAGCUACAGUAGAAUCAGUCAAGUCAGAUAUAAGUCAAAGUAGU